rnacentral:rRNA from 1 species
UACGUAGGGGGCAAGCGUUGUCCGGAAUCAUUGGGCGUAAAGCGCGUGUAGGCGGCUCGGUAAGUCUGCUCUGAAAGCCCGGGGCUCAACCCUGGGAGGCGGGUGGAUACUGCUGAGCUCGAGUCCGGAAGAGGCGAGUGGAAUUCCUGGUGUAGCGGUGAAAUGCGCAGAUAUCAGGAGGAACACCAAUGGCGAAGGCAGCUCGCUGGGACGGUACUGACGCUGAGACGCGAAAGCGUGGGGAGCAAACAGG